rnacentral:rRNA from 1 species
AUUGAACGCUGGCGGCAUGCUUUACACAUGCAAGUCGAACGGCAGCGCGGGCUUCGGCCUGGCGGCGAGUGGAGAACGGGUGAGUAAUGCAUCGGAACGUGCCCAGUAGUGGGGGAUAGCCCGGCGAAAGCCGGAUUAAUACCGCAUACGACCUGAGGGUGAAAGCGGGGGACCGAAAGGCCUCGCGCUAUUGGGGCGGCCGAUGUCGGAUUAGCUAGUUGGUGGGGUAAAGGCUUACCAAGGCGACGAUCCGUAGCUGGUCUGAGAGGACGACCAGCCACACUGGGACUGAGACACGGCCCAGACUCCUACGGGAGGCAGCAGUGGGGAAUUUUGGACAAUGGGGGCAACCCUGAUCCAGCCAUGCCGCGUGCGGGAAGAAGGCCUUCGGGUUGUAAACCGCUUUUGUUCGGGAAGAAAUCCUCUGGGCUAAUACCCCGGGGGGAUGACGGUACCGGAAGAAUAAGCACCGGCUAACUACGUG